UAAUAAAAUAUAAAUAAAACAAAUUUUUCUCUUUCUCUCUCAUCUUUCCUCUCUCCUAUCUCCAGCUCCAGAACACUAGCUCCAAAACGCUAGCUCUUAUUUAUCGCUCUUCUUUCCUCAGCAUAACUCCAUAGCUCUUCAUAAAUCGAAUAACUGAAGACCUGAAGAACUGAGCUCCACAACUCAAAUUUUAUAAAGUCGAAUUUCUCAAAGAGAUGAAGAGCUGAAGAUACAGAGGUGGGGAUGGAAGAAAUCAAGAGCGGAAGCUGAAGAAAUCAAGUGUUGAGAUUCCUUUCAAUUCUAGUCAUCUGUACAACCGAUUUGUGAAGGGAAAUGGGAGUGAUCAAAUUUGAAGUGGAUGAUGACGAGUUUCCGAACUAUUGUAAAAGUUUGAAUACAUUAUAUUUGAUUUUGUGAAAUAUAUUCAUUGCUAGAAUAUAUUGAACUAUUGUAGUACUUUUUGAACUAUUGUGUACACAUUUAGAAUAUUGAUGUAUAAGUAUAGGUAUGUACACAACACAAACUAUAUAUUUUGAAGUUUAUGGGAAAUCUAUAAAAUUGAAUUACUUAUUA